rnacentral:lncRNA from 1 species
UAAACCUCUCUUUGAUCCUAUCGUUUUGAAGCGAAAUACGGGUUAAUACUAAAUUGUGUUUGAUCUUCAGGUACUUCCCGGAUGGGAUUGAUAUAUAUUUUGACAAUGUGGGAUCUGAGAUGCUGGAAGCAGCAGUUGAGAACAUGAACACCUUCGGUAGGGUUGCUGUCUGCGGCGUGAUUUCUGAGUACAUAGAUGCCAGAAAGCGAGCUGCGCCAAAUAUGCUAGACGUUGUUUACAAGAGAAUUAAGAUCCAAGGGUUUUUAGCAGCUGAUCUCAUGAAUGUGUACUCUGAUUUUAUCUCCACCACCGUUGAUCAUCUUCGCACGGGCAAUUUGCACGUGGUUGAAGACAUCUCGAGUGGUUUGGAGAGUUUUCCAUCUGCUUUCAUUGGACUUUUUCGCGGUCAUAACACCGGAAAGAAAAUGGUUAAGCUUGCAGAUGAGUGAACAUAUGAUAUGAAAUCUCUCAUUGUUGUUUGGUUUUACCUGCACUACUUUUAUCUGCAGUUCCAAAAAGUAAAUUCACAAAUAGAACAAGCAGAGCAAAGUCCACAUAAGCUCCAAUUUUGAAUUGCAUUUGGCUUCAAAUUGAUGGAAUAAAAACAUGUGUUAUUUUGGUUCUGGUCCCUUAUCAAUCAAGUUGUUAGACUGAAAUCUUGUUUAUUUAAAUAUUUUGAUCGAGGUCCUUAGUAUCAAAUAAGAGAUUUUAAUUCAUGCAAUUAUGCCCUUAAUGUCCCACAAAUUAUGAAAUUUAAACAAAUUCAAAUUAUAUUUUUAAAAUAUAAUAAAUGCUUAAAAAUUAAUAUUAGAGUAAUAUUGUUCUUCACAAAAUUAUAGCAAGAAAAUAAUGUACCCACGUAAUAUUAACAUAUUUAAAAAAAAAUAACUACUCAUCAUAAAGUAAAUACAUAUAAUUAGCAUAGGUACAUUUAGUAAAAUAAAAAAUAGGGACAAAUAAAUUAAAAAAUAUGGGCACAAAAAUAAAUUAAUAUAUGGGUACAAAUUAAAACGGAAAUAAAAUUGCUACAAGUUCAAAAAUGGUUGCAAAUUAAAAAUGGGUACAAAUUAAAAAUGAAAAUAAUGACAAAAAAUGUAGCCAUAAAUAUAAAUAUACCAAAUGUAACAUUUCUAACACUAAAUGAAUAUAUUCAGAAAUAAAAAAUAUUUUAUUAUUAAAAUAAUUAAUGACAUUUCUUAAAACUGAGGACCUUGAUAAAAAAUUGAAAAUGAAUAAAGUUUUAAUCAAUGAAGUAGCAAAAAGAAUGAUGACAAUCUAAUUUCUCCUAAAAACAUAUCAAUGAAUUAGCAGGUGAUUAAGUAGUUGAAGGAUUCCCUAACCGUCAAUGGUUACUUUUGAAUUUCUAAAGCUCCACAUUUUCCUUGCGUCGGGGAAUGGAAGAGGUUGAAGAAGCAAAGUGCUUCUUUUCUUCCUACAAAGCAGAGAGAGAACCAACCCAAAAAAGGAGAUUAAAAAGAAUAAAAUGGUUUGUACCUUCAAAUGCUUUGUAGCUUCUCCUGCCAUUCGGAGAGCGUGUAGCACUUGAUCUCUCUUCUUCUUCUUUUUUUGUUGUUUCUCUUUUGCCUUUGCUCUCUUGCUUUGCCUCUCAUCCUCUAUCGUCUUUACCGUGUUUUUCAAUUUCUGCAGCGUUUUCUUGUCACUCCCCCCUUCUUUCUGUCUUUUCUCCCCUUUUAUAGACUUAUGGUGACGGGAAGAGUGGGGUGAGAACGUGGGUAGUUUUUUCAUCAACUUCUUUUGCACGUCCAAGGAAAUGGAGGAACUAUUUCUCAUUAUAAAAUUAAAAUUUAUUUUUAUUUUACAAUGGAUGGUAUAGAUUUCCUUAAAAUAAUCUAUACCGUUGAUUUGUUUGCCACUCACAUUCCCACUUUCCUGGAAUUAAGGAGCCACCUCCUUUUUUUUUAUUACCUUAACACCCCCUGUCAAACUCAUGAUGGUACACGACAUAAGUUUGUCAAUAGACGAUGUGGAUGCAAGCUCUAUUGUGCUAACUUCCGAUGCUAAUUCCAAUACGAAAUUCCAAAUGCCAAUGCCAAUGCAAGAUUCCAAUACUAGUGCCAAUGCAAGAUUUCCAUGCUAGUGCUAGUGCCAGAUUUCCGUGCCAGUGCCAGCGUAAGAUUUCCAUGCCAGUGUUAGUGCAAGACCAAUACCAAUGCUAGUGCAAACCUUCUCAUCGCCAAAUUGUGAUCUUCCGAACAAAAGAAAAAUCUAACUCACCAUAUACACAACAUCACUCAAAUGGUCACCAGUCCAAGCAUUCAAGCGAUCGUCACGGUGGGAACGAUAGACAAACCUAGCGGACCAUAUUUCUUUCUUGCCCAUGUGGGCCUAAACCUCAAACAGUUUUCAAUUUCCUUUUCUUCCUUCCUCCUUUUCCACAUCGAGUUUUACUAGGCAGUGCAUACAAAUACCAUUACAAAUACUUUGACUUCAAAGUCCAAUCCAAAUUCCAAAUUUCAUCAUCAAUUCCACAGAAAUCAAAACCCCAGACUUCAGAAACAAAUAACAGAGCAUCGCUAGUGCCUAAUACCUUAAUUCUUGGGUUUGGGGUUGGUCAGACAGCAGGUUCGUGGGUCGUGUUGCAGCAGCGGUGUGGCGGGUCAAGGUGCAGAUCAAGAGCACAUGCAGUGGUCCAAGGAGGAGACGAACUCGAUCCGAGUUUGCGGUUCUCGGGUCUGGGCUUCGUAAAACCAGUGGUGGGUAUGAGAUUGCUAGGAAUGCAGGUCAGACGCUGGAGUACAGGACAAUAAUGAACAACGAACAAUGAACAACCACAAUUUUUUUUUUUUUACUUCAACCAAUUUAUCUAAAUUAGAAUAAUCAUACAACAGAAGACGACAACAAACUGACACGGGACAUGCAAGAGCAUAUUAAAUCCCGAAUGAUCAAACCUGCUCUGAUACUAAGUUGAAUAUCAGAAUAUGCAAAGAACAAACGAACUAACUGAAUAUAAAACUUUAUUAAAUGAAAUUGCCAAGAAGGCUACAUGAACCAAAGAUGCUACUUCUUACUAACUUACCUCUCAAACUAAAUUACAAGCAAUAUUUAUAGAGAACUAAAUCUAAGAAACUCUAACUCGGAUGUGUUAUGCCCAGUUCCUAAACUAACAAGCACAACCCAAAUAUUAAAAUACAAUGAAGCUGGCCCAGAAUUUGAGACAAAGAGAGUCAGAAAUAUGAUCUCUGAAGCCGGAAUGAAGAAGAAACCUAUUCCAGUGUUCCAGUGUGAUAGAGGUAAAUGGCGUGGCCGAAGAAUUCCUUUUUUGUGAUCUGUGUCAUCCACAAGCAGAAGAAAUGGUUAAUACGCUCAACUCCUUCUGUAAAUUGUUCGAUUCUCCAACCUAAUUCAGAGAAAUUAAUAUAACACUUAUCAUUAUGUAAACUGGAUAAGACAUUACAGUACACCUUCAGCUUUUGAACUAGAUGAAUAUUGUAAAUUGGUAAAAUAUAUAUGAUUGUAAGUAUUAACAUGAACAUAUGCAAAAAAUCAGAGAAAGAUAUGGAAAUGAGGGGUGAAGUUUAAACUUCACCUUAUAUCGGAGAAACUCUUAAGUUUAGGCUAAAAUCGGCAGAUAUUGUCGAUAUUUCUGACACAUAAGUUAAAUAUCGAAGAAACUGUUAUAUUUCGUCAGAACCAAUGUUUGUCAAUCCCCAUAGUUUUAUUCUAAAUAUUCAUCAUUUCUAUCAAAAGCAACCGAUAUUGACACCCAUAUUCGAUAUAUCCAUCAAUAUUUCUACAAAUUUACAUGUCGACAUGUACACCGAUACCGAUAUUUUAAAUACAGUUUCAACUUGUAUUUUGUUUUGGAGAAUAUCCAUAUAUUGUAGUUAGCGAUAGAGUGUCAGCCAUUUGUGUGGUUCGUACAACGUUUUGAUCCAAUUUUGUAAUGAGCUUGGACUCUCUUCUUUAACUUCUUCUAUCUCAUAUUUCCCUCACUCUUUCUAUAUUUGUAUAUCCAGUGAGCUUUGCCUGCACAAAGAGGCAGCUGAAAAUGGAGGUCACCAACAGGUACAUUACGAUAAAAUCCCCCCUCGACGACGGAGAACCGAAAGAGUCAGACUUUGAGGUCAAAACUUCACCCCUUGCUCUAUCAGUUUCCCCUGGUUCAAGCGAUGUCAUCGUGAAAAAUUUCUAUGUGUCGAUCGAUCCGUACCAGCUCAACCGCAUGAAAAGUUUCAGCUCCUCCCACAAAGCCAUAAGCUAUGCAGCUGCCAUCGCCCCAGGAGAUGUAAGCCUUGAAGCUUAUUUGUUACAAAAGUCGUAAAGCAAACUGUUCUUACCACUCGAAAACAGAGAUCCUGUGCCUCUUAUUUUAUUUAUAAAGUGCAUAAUGACGUUUUUAAGUGUAAAUAACAGCUCCCGUCUCAACAUAAUUGAGCUUUUUAUAAUUAUAUUUAAUACUUUAUUAUGAUGGCAGGAAAUUGAUGCUUACGGUGUGGCAAAAGUUGUGGCUUCUGGGAAUCCAGAGUUUGAGAAGGAUGACUUGGUUGUGGGGCUCAUCAGUUGGGGAGAGUACACUGUUCUAAAAGAAGGGACCAUGAUGUUUAGGAAAUUUGACCCUUUGGGAUUUCCACUUUCUUAUCAAGUUGGAAUUCUAGGUAAUUUUACUUCAUCGUCACGACGACUGAUUCUCUGUUUAUCUCUUCUUACCCUUAAAAACAGAGGCACCCAGUGUCCUUGAAUCACGUAAUUCAUUGACAAUUGGAUUGAUUUGGUUAUUUUGUAUGUUACAGGUUUUAGUGGACUUACAGCAUAUGGGGGAUUUUUUGAAGUGUGCAAGCCUAAAAAGGGGGAGAGAGUUUUCGUAUCUGCAGCUUCUGGAUCGGUUGGAAAUUUGGUCGGACAGUAUGCAAAACUCUUCGGUUGCUAUGUUGUUGGCUGUGCCGGAAGCAAAGAAAAGGUGACCUUACAAAACUUUUCUUUUAGUGCGCUAUGUUCAAACGGAAUCUGUUCAUGAAAAUUGAUCUGAAUGAUCUGUUUAUAGGUGGCAUUGCUCAAGGCAAAGCUCGGAUUUGAUGAUGCCUUCAACUACAAGGAAGAGCCCGAUUUUAAAGUCGACUCUCAAAAAAGUAAACCUCUCUUUGAUCCUAUCGUUUUGAAGCGAAAUACGGGUUAAUACUAAAUUGUGUUUGAUCUUCAGGUACUUCCCGGAUGGGAUUGAUAUAUAUUUUGACAAUGUGGGAUCUGAGAUGCUGGAAGCAGCAGUUGAGAACAUGAACACCUUCGGUAGGGUUGCUGUCUGCGGCGUGAUUUCUGAGUACAUAGAUGCCAGAAAGCGAGCUGCGCCAAAUAUGCUAGACGUUGUUUACAAGAGAAUUAAGAUCCAAGGGUUUUUAGCAGCUGAUCUCAUGAAUGUGUACUCUGAUUUUAUCUCCACCACCGUUGAUCAUCUUCGCACGGGCAAUUUGCACGUGGUUGAAGACAUCUCGAGUGGUUUGGAGAGUUUUCCAUCUGCUUUCAUUGGACUUUUUCGCGGUCAUAACACCGGAAAGAAAAUGGUUAAGCUUGCAGAUGAGUGAACAUAUGAUAUGAAAUCUCUCAUUGUUGUUUGGUUUUACCUGCACUACUUUUAUCUGCAGUUCCAAAAAGUAAAUUCACAAAUAGAACAAGCAGAGCAAAGUCCACAUAAGCUCCAAUUUUGAAUUGCAUUUGGCUUCAAAUUGAUGGAAUAAAAACAUGUGUUAUUUUGGUUCUGGUCCCUUAUCAAUCAAGUUGUUAGACUGAAAUCUUGUUUAUUUAAAUAUUUUGAUCGAGGUCCUUAGUAUCAAAUAAGAGAUUUUAAUUCAUGCAAUUAUGCCCUUAAUGUCCCACAAAUUAUGAAAUUUAAACAAAUUCAAAUUAUAUUUUUAAAAUAUAAUAAAUGCUUAAAAAUUAAUAUUAGAGUAAUAUUGUUCUUCACAAAAUUAUAGCAAGAAAAUAAUGUACCCACGUAAUAUUAACAUAUUUAAAAAAAAAUAACUACUCAUCAUAAAGUAAAUACAUAUAAUUAGCAUAGGUACAUUUAGUAAAAUAAAAAAUAGGGACAAAUAAAUUAAAAAAAUAUGGGCACAAAUAAAUUAAUAUAUGGGUACAAAUUAAAACGGAAAUAAAAUUGCUACAAGUUCAAAAAUGGUUGCAAAUUAAAAAUGGGUACAAAUUAAAAAUGAAAAUAUAUGACAAAAAAUGUAGCCAUAAAUAUAAAUAUACCAAAUGUAACAUUUCUAACACUAAAUGAAUAUAUUUAGAAAUAAAAAAAAAAAUUAUUAUUAAAAUAAUUAAUGACAUUUCUUAAAACUGAGGACCUUGAUAAAAAAUUGAAAAUGAAUAAAGUUUUAAUCAAUGAAGUAGCAAAAAGAAGGAUGACAAUCUAAUUUCUCCUAAAACCAUAUAAAUAUAAUCUUGAUUAGGACUUCUGAACUGUAAGUGGAAGUUAUUAAGUAAUUAGCAGGUGAUUAAGUAGUUGCAAAUUGCUUGGUCCAAGCUCCAAAAUCCAAAGCAAGGAAAAGACAAUGUGCCACAUCCAACCAUUGUUUUUCAGCGGCAGACGUUGAUUAAGCCGGUUGACUAAGAUAACAUAUAUGUUCCUUUCCAAUCAAGUUCAAUUUUUCUCUUCACGGAUAUGAGUAGGUCAUUAAGACAAAAAGUCAUUGUUCUUGAGGCAAACAAAUCAAGUUCGAAAAAGUAAUAGGUUUUGAAGAUACUUGUUAUUUUUUUUAGAAGGGUUAAAAGUGCAUUUUGACAAUAAAAAAUGUUUCAGACUAUGUUUAACAGAAAAAACUUAAAAAACACUUAUAGAUUACCGAAUUGAGCAAACGCUAUAUAAUUUUGAAAAAAACACUUCCAAGUGUUUUUCUAAAAGCACUUUCAAGUAUUUUUUCACAAAACACAACUUUUUAUAAAACUUACGUGUUCACAAUAAAAAUACUUUGAAAUAACUUUGACUUUACAAAGUCAUCAAAUCCGACGGCCGUGAUCAGUUUGAUCAAGUAACACCGCCCGUAUGUCCAAUGUCCAUUUGGGGACUACCCAAAGGUUACCCGCCAAUUCAGAUGUUUCAUAAAACCGUUAGAAGCAACGACCUUGUUUCCCCUCCCACAAAAAUUCAAAACCCUAAACCAGCUCAAGCAAAUCCACGCUCACAUCCUCGCAUGCCGUCUACCCGAAAACCCAUACACCAUUGCGCCGCUCCUAUCCGCCGCAGCAACCUCCAAAGAUGCUUCUUUUACUACGCUUGCUCAAUUUUCGAGCACCACCAUCACCACGCAACAUCUUCAUAUACAACACCAUGAUCAGAGGAUACGUUCAGUCGCAUUUGCCGAUUCCCGCCAUUUCGUGCUGUUUGGACAUGUUGAAUUAUGAGUUUGUUCCGAAUAACUACACUUUUUCCCCCGUUGAUCAAAGCGUGCACGAUUCUCGGCCCAAAUUUGAAGCUCAGUGGUCGAUUAGUUCAUGGUCAUGUAGAUCAAUUCGGGUAUGGUGACGACUCUUGUUCUUUAGCUCGCUGGUCGAGUUUUAUGCCGUAAUCCAUGGCUUAUAAAUUGCAAAGGUGGUGUUUGAUAAAAGUCCUAAAAGGGAUGUGGUGGUGUGGACGCCAAUGAUUGACGGGUUACGGGUAUGGGAAGACAGGGGAUGUUGAGAAUGCCCAGCGUUGUUUGACGAAAUGCCUGAGAGAAACACCAUAUCGUGGAGUGCGAUGAUGGCUGCAUAUUCUCGGGUGAGCGAGUUCAAAGAGGUGCUUUCUUAGGCAAAUGCAAGAAGCGGGCACAAAGCCUAUUGAGUCGGCUAUUGUUAUUGUUCUGACUACCUCUGCUCAUAUCUCGGUGCGGUCACAUAAGGACUGUGGGUACACUGCUAUGCUAAAGGUGCAAUCUUGAUUUUAACACGAGAUUGGCCACUGCUCUCGUUGAUAUGUACACGUAAUGCGGAUAUGUGGAAGCAGCUUUACGGGGUUUUUAGGGCACUCCUAAUAAGGAUGUUGGAGUGUUGAACGGUAUGAUCGCUGGAGUUGCAAUGAUUGGGGAUGGAAGGAAAUCACUUGAACUCUUAAAUAAAAUGGUUAGAGAUAGAGUACAACCCACAGAGACCACAUUUUGUCGCCGUUCUUUCGGCUUGCACGCAUGCAAAGAUGGUUGACAAGGGCCUUGAAAAUUGUUUGAUCAAAUGGAAAUCUUUAUGGGGCUAAAACUCGAGCUUGAGCACAACACGUGCAUUGUGGACCUUUUGGCUAGAGCGGGCAUGGUGGAGGAAGUUGAGAAGUUUAUAGAGGACAAGAUGGGAGGACUAGGAAGAGGGGACGCAAAUGCGUGGGGAGCACUACUGGCUGCUGGUAGAGUUCAUGGGAAUGUUGAAGUUGGGGACCGGACUUGGAAAAAGCUCGCUGGUACGGGAGUAGCCGAGUGGCAUUCAUGUUCUUUCAUAUAAUAUGAGUUGAAUAUCAGAGUACGCAAAGAACAAACGAACUAACUAAAUAUAAAACUUUAUUAAACGAAAUUGCCAAGAAGACUACAUGAACCAAAGAUGCUACAUCUUACUAACUUACCUCUCAAACUAAAUUACAAGCAAUAUUUAUAGAGAACUAAACCUAAGAAACCCUAACUCAGAUAUGUUAGGCCUAAUUCCUAAACUAACAAGCAAAACCCAAAUAUUAAAAUGAACAUAAAUACUAAUAUUUUCCAACACCCCCAUCAAACUCAUGACGGUACACGACAUGAGUUUGCCAACAAACGAUGUGGAUGCAAGCUCUGUUAUGCUAACUUCCGAUGCCAAUUCCAAUACGAAAUUCCAUCGGUGCAAGUGCAAGAUUCCAAAUGCCAAUGCCAGUGCCAAUGCAAGAUUCCCAUGCCAGUGCCAAUGCAAGAUUCCAAUGCCAUUGUCAGUGCAAGAUUUCCAUGCUAGUUUCAGUGCAAGAUUUUCAUGUCAGUGCCAGUGUUAGUGCAAGACCAAUACCAAUGCUAGUGCAAACCUUCUCAUUUCCUAUUGUGAUCUUCCGAACAAAAGAAAAAUCCAACUCACCAUAUACACAACGUCACUCGAAUGGUCACCAGUCCAAGCAUUCGAGUGAUCGUCGUGGUGGGAACGACAGACAAACCAAGCACACCAUAUUUCUUUCUUGCCCGUGUGGGCCUAAACCUCAAACAGUUUUCAAUUUCCUUUCUUCCUUCCUCCUUUUCCACGUCCAGUUUUACUAGGCAGUGCAUACAAAUACCAUUACAGAUACUUUGACUUCAAAGUCCAAUCCAAAUUCCAAAUUUCAUCAUCAAUUCCACAGAAAUCAAAACCUUAGACUUCAGAAACAAAUAACAGAGCAUCGCAAGUGCCUAAUACCUCAAUUCUUGGGUUUGGGGUUGGUCAGACAGCAGGUUCGUGGGUCGUGUUGCAGCAGCGGUGUGGCGGGUCAAGGUGCAGAUCAAGAGCAUAUGCAGUGGUCCAAGGAGGAGACGAACUCGAUCCGAGUUUACGGUUCUUAGGUCUGGGCUUCGUAAAACCAGUGACGGGUGUUUGCUCCCUAAAUCCGGCAUGGUCCUUGCGGGCAAGCCAGGGAUUUACUUCACAUACGAGAUUGGUGGGUGCAGGCGUGCCACUACUAGAUUCCGCUAGUAGACGGGAUUUGAAUGAUUGAGGUUGCGCUUGAGUUUGACUUCGAACCAAGAGAUUGUGUCAUUGAGUGGGAGUUACUCAAAUUAAGGUUCUUUGUUUGCCUUAAAAAUAAGGACUUUACUUAUAUGGAGAGAUAGAACAAUAUGUAAAUGAUAAGGUUGCUUGGAAAUAUAAAUGACAGAGGAAAAUGACUAAUAUAUUGCAGAUUACUUGUAGAUUAAAUGACUGAAAGAGGGUUGUACAUAAAAGCUACAAAUCAGAUCGAUACUACAAGUGAGUAGCAGAGCUAAUAAACAAGAAAAGCAAAGGAUGCUUGGCUAAAAAUAAAUGUCUACAAGGAAGCUGAUGAGCUAAUUUGAGUAGAGUUUUGAUUGGUUGUUUUGAGUGUCCAUAAUCCUUAUGUUUGGGCUGCUUUAAUUAGAGAUCUGGAGGAAACCCUCCUGCUGAAGACACUGCAUCUGCCCGAAAGAAACUUGGGCAGUUUGUAUUUCACUUGCCAACUUGCAUGGAGAAAUAAUAUUAAAAGGGAAACUUGCACCUCUACCACAUGCUUUCAUCACAUGUUUUUUCACUUGUAAUAAACUAACAUUUAAAAGAAGCAAGUUGACUUCUUUCACAUGUUCCUUGUCCUCUCAUGGUGCAUUUUCAUCCACUUGCAUGAAAAAGCAUGCAUUUGUCUUGAUUAAACAAUUCUUUUGGCAAACCUCCACCACCAAAACAAAUGGGAAAAACAAUAUUACAGUGUCAAACCCAUCCACUUGAUAGCUAAAUAUCUUCCAAGUUAGUCUUUUUACUCAUUAAUCCUCCAAAUGCCAUAUUUUACCCAAAUUGCCCAAAUAAGUAAAAAUGGGUAUAUUUUGAGUACAAACAAUGGGUAUGAGAUUGCUAGGAAUGCAGGUCAGACGCUGGGGUACGGAACAAUAAUGAACGACGAACAAUGAACCACAAUUUUUUUUUCUUCCACCAAUUUAUCUAAAUUAGAACAAUCAAACAGCGGAAGACGGCAACAAACUGACACGGGACAUGGAAGAGCAAAUUAAAUCCCUAAUGAUCAAACAUGCUCUGAUACCAAGUUAAAUAUCAGAGUACGCAAAGAACAAACGAACUAACUGAAUAUAAAACUUUAUUAAACGAAAUUGCCAAGAAGGCUACAUGAACCAAAGAUGCUACAUCUUACUAACUUACCUCUCAAACUAAAUUACAAGCAAUAUUUAUAGAGAACUAAACCUAAGAAACCCUAACUGGGAUGUGUUAUGCCCAAUUCCUAAACUAACAAGCACAACCUAAAUAUUAAAAUAAACAUAAAUACUAAUAUUUUCCAACAAUGUACAUUGAAGCUGGCCUUGAAUUUGAGACAAAGAGAGUCAGAAAUAUGAUCUCUGAAGCCGGAAUGAAGAAGAAACCUAUUCCAGUGUUCCAGUGUUCCAGUGUUCCAGUGUGAUAGAGGUAAAUGGCGUGGCCGAAGAAUUCCUUGUUGGUGAUCUGUGUCAUCCACAAGCUGAAGAAAUGGGUAACACUUAUCAUUAUGUAAACUGGAUAAUACAUUACAGUACACCUUCAGCUUUUGAACUAGAUGAAUAUUGUAUUGAACAGAUAUGGUAAAUUGGUAAAAUAUAUAUAUAUAUAUAUAUAUAUAUAUAUAUAUAUAUAUAUAUAUGAUUGGAAGUAUUAACAUGGAAAUAUCCAAACAAUCAGAGAAAGAUAUGGAAAUGAGGGGUGAAGUUUAAACAUCACCUUAUACCGGAGAAACUUUUAAAUUUAGGCUAAAAUCAGCCGAUAUUGUCAAUAUUUUUUACACAUAAGUUAAAUAUCGGAAAAACUGUUAUAUUUCAUCAAAACCAAUGUUUGUCAAUCCCUAUAGUUUUAUUCUAAAUAUUCAUCAUUUCUAGCAAAAGCAACCGAUAUUCGAUAUAUCCAUCAAUAUUUCUACAAAUUUACAUGUCGACAUGUAUGUUGUGCUAGGAUAGCACCAAACCAAUUGGAACCAACUCAAACUAACCCACAUAUAAUAUAUCAAAUGAAAUGCAAGAACAAAAUAGAAAAGACACUAAGAUUUUAACGAGGUUCCUCAACAGUCAGUGUAACUGGAAUAUGUCCUCGGAGCAGUAGGAGCUCACACAAUAAUCCACUAUCAACCAAAUGGGAGUUUACAAAGUGUUGGCAAUCUCACAACCCAAAACCCCAAUACAUCCAAAAGCUUUCACUCAUCAAAUAAACAAAUAGAGAAGGAAAUAUAAUGAUUAAUUUCUUCUCCACACAAAGCUUAAAGCUAUUACAACGACUACUUUGAUGAAUGAUUACUAACCAAAGAGAAUAGCACCUUCUUCUUCUGUUCAAAGUGGGGCUGCAACACAACCUUUUCUUUUUCUUCUCUGAUGCUGCCUUUAUUUUUCUGCUCUCUGUUUUCUGCUCCAAAGCAAAAGGGCAGCAGUUGCCCUAAUUCAUAACCUAGCCACUCCCGUGGCUUUCCACAUAGGCCAAAUAAAAAGGCCCUUUAAAUUUUCUAUUGAAAGGCCCAAUGGAAUUUGGCCAUAAUUCAACAAUCUCCACCUUGGCCAAAUUCUAAAAGCAUCAUGACGAGCCAAACCAACAUAAAACCACUCCCAAAAGUAGCAAGAGAAUAACUCAAGCUAAGCCAAAAUGCUCCAAAAAACUCCUACUGCUCAACGCCUUCUUUAUAUAGGCAAAAUGUGAGCCAAGUUCAAGCAAUGAACAAACUUGGCUACACUAACAACCUUAGUCAACAUAUCAGCAGGGUUGUCUUUAGUUGGAAUCUUCUGGAGAAUAAUAUCCCAUUCACCAACAACUUCACGAAUAAAGUGAUAACGCACAUCUAUGUGCUUGGUCUUCGCAUGAUGAACCUGAUACUUAGCCAAAUAAAUGGCACUCUGACUAUCACAAUGCAACUCCACCUACUUCUGAUCAACCCCCAAAUCUCUGAUAAGUCCAUGUAUCCAAAUGGCCUCCUUUAUAACUUCAGCAACUGUCAUAAAUUCAGCCUCUGUAAUAGACAAGGCAACAGACGACUGCAAAAUGGACCGCCAACAAACUGGCCCUCUAGCCAUAACAAACAUAUAGCCUGUAGUAGACUUCCUUUUAUCCAAAUCACCUACAUAAUCUGAAUCAACAUAACCAACUGCAAAGUGACCAAUACCAGAGUCAUCCCUCUCAAAACAUAAACCAACAUCUCGAGUACCAUGAAGAUACCUCAAUAUCCACUUAACUGCAUGCCAAUGCUCUUUACCAGGAUUAUGCAUAUAUUGACUCACCAUACUAACUGCAUAAGCAAUCUCUGGUCUAAAGCAUACCAUUGUGUACAUCAAACUACCAACCAAAUUUGCAUAUGGUAUAUUUUUCAUUUGCAACUUCUCUUGAUCAAUUUUAGGACAUUGUAGAGAAUUCGAUUUAAAAUGAGGAGUUAAAGGGAUACUAACCGGUUUGGUUGAAUCAUGAACUCCAACUUCCGAAUCAACUUGUCAAGGUAUUGUUUUUAAUUCAAGCAUACCAAACCCUUCUCUCUAUCUCUAAUGAUCUCCAUGCCAAGGAUCUUUUUCGCUUCACCAAGAUCCUUUAUCUCGAACUUGUUCUUCAUUUGUUUCUUCAAUUUCUCAAUCUCUUCAACAUCCUUUGAGGCUAUCAACAUAUAUCAACAAAUAAAUGAAAGACCCAUCUUGCAACUUCUUGAAGUACACACAAUGAUCAUAUUGACUUCUAGAAUAAUUUUGGCCUCUCAUAAAUCUAUCAAACCUCAAAUACCACAUUGUCUUGGAAUUGCUUCAAGCCAUAAAGUGAUUUCUUCAACUUGCAAAACAAAUUCUCUUUCCCUUUCACUUUAUACCCAUCCGGUUGACACAUAUAGAUCUCUUCAUUCAAAUCACCAUGUAGGAAAGCCGUCUUCACAUCGAGUUGCACAAGCUCAAGAUCAUAUUGUGCAACAAGAGCUAACAUAAUACGAAUUGAGGAGUGCUUCACAACCGGAGAAAAGAUUUCAUUGUAGUCAAUGCCCUCAUUUUGUGCAUACCCUUUAGCAACUAAUCUUGCUUUAAAUCUCACAUUGUUUUUCUCAUCAACACCUUCCUUCUUGGCAUACACCCAUUUACAAUCGAUAGCUUUCUUACCCUUAGGCAAUUUAGCUAACUCCCAAGUCUUGUUCUUCAAGAAAGAAUUCAUCUUGUCACCCAUGGCAUUGCACCACUUCUCAUUUUCUUCACUCUCAAUAGCUUCCUCAAAAUUGGAUGGCAUCUCAUCAGUGAUAAUAGGAAGAGCAAAAGAAACAUAAUCACUAUACGAGCAGGCUUGGUAAUAUUUCUCUUUCCUCUGUUCUUGGCAAGGGACUCUUGAGGUGAAACUUGUUAUUCAUCUAGAAUAGAUUCUUCAAGUUCAACUUCUUCAACAUCCUCUCGGUCUCCCACUUCUUCACUUGUAGUGGCUUUGACAUCAGUGGAAAUAGGAUUUGAAGUAUUAGAGGCAAAUUUCUCAAGCUCCACCUGUUGGACAUCUUUCGCAUUCUUUUCAGAGUCUUUGAACAUACUUUCUUCAUCAAAUGUCACAUCUCUACUGAUUACAAGUUUUUUCAUCUUUGGGCACCACAACCUCUAACCUUUGACACCACUACUAAAACCAAGAAAGAUAGUCUUUUUGGCUCUAUGAUCAAGUUUAUUUUUAGUUACAUGAAAAUAAGCAGGUGAACCAAAAAUACGAAUAUAAUCAUAAUCAGUAGAAGGUUUUUCAGUCCAUACCUCUAUUGGUGUCUUACCCUGAACAGCAGCUAAGGGUAACCGGUUGAUGAUGUGACAUGUAUAAGUAAUUGCCUCUGCCCAAAAUGACUUGCUUAAACCUGAUUGAGACAACAUACAUCUAACCUUCUCAAGCAAGGUUCGAUUCAAUCUUUCUGCAACUUCAUUUUGUUGUGGAGUUCCCCAGACACUGAAAUGCCUCACAAUCCCUUCCUCUUUGCAAACUUUAAAGAAAGGGUCGGAUGUGUAUUCACCACCAUUAUCUGAUCUCAAAAUCUUAAUCUUUAUCCCAUUCUGGUUCUCAACUAUUGUCUUCCAGCUCAAGAAAAUGCUCAACACCUCACUCUUGUGCUUCAUAAUGUAGACCCAAGACCUUCUAGAAUAAUCAUCAACAAAGGUCACGAACCAAUGUCUACCACUCAAAGAGGGAGUUUUUGUAGGACCCCAAACAUCUGAAUGCACAUAAUCAAGAAUGCCCUUUGUCUGAUGUACUGCAAUACCAAAAUUCACUCUAGUUUGCUUCCCUAAGACACAAUGCUAGCAGAAAUCAAGCUUACAAGUCAUGGCACCUUUUAGAAGACCUUGUUUCACAAGCCCUUCUAAAGCUCUUUCACCGGCAUGGCCUAAUCUCAUAUGUCAUAGUCUAGUAGUAUCUGAAUCAGAUGUGCCCAUAUUUUCUGAGACUACAGACGCUUCACCUGUCACGGUGCUUCCUUGCAAUAGAUACAAAUGACCACAUCGAGGAGCUUUCAUCACAACAAGUGCACCAUAAGUAACUUUCAAUGUCUGCCCAUCUGAAUGAAACCUGAAGCCCUUGGAUUUUAAGUACCCAAAGAAAUAAGAUUUUUCUUCAAAUUCAGUACAUACCGAACCCAGUCAACUCUUUAACCAUGUCAUCGUGCAACUUCAAUCAAACUAUACCGAUCCCUUUUGUUGUACAAGGAUUGUCAUCUCUCAUGAAAACAACACCACCAUCAAACUCUUAAGCUUGAAAACCAAUCCUUGUGAGGAGUCAUAUGAUAAGUACAACCCGUAUCCAAUACCCACUUAGUAGCACAAUCAAAUGAUGAAGAAAAGGUUAAAGCAAAAUCAGAAAAAAAUCAUUUUCAAGCUCAGCAACAUUAGCUUCAGAACUCACUUUGCCUUUGGUCCUCAACCUAGGACAAUCUUUCUUCCAAUGGCCUUUAUUAUGACAAAGGCAUAUUUAUCACUUUCCAAACUUUUUCUACCUUUAGAAGUUCCUCUAGGUCGAGAAAGUGAUUUUUUCUUACUAGAAAGAGAUCUCCUCUCUAAUGAUCUACCUCUAACAAACAAAGCCUCAGAAGUACUAUCAUGAUUUUUAUCUCUAUGCCUCAUUUCAUAAUUCAUCAAGGCAUUUGACACAUCUUCAAAUUUCACAGUUUCUUUACCAUGCAUAAUAGUGGUAACAAAAUGCUCAUAAGAGUCCGGCAGAAUUCAACAAUAUUAAGGCCUUAUCUUCAUCUUUAAUAUCCUCAUCUAAAUUCAUCAAAUCGGCAAUCAACUUAUUAAAAGCAUCAAGGUGUCUAAUCAUUUUUGUACCUUCUUUAUAUUGGAAGCGAUAGAGCUUUUUCUUCAAGUAUAGUCGGUUCUCUGCACUCUUCGUCAUGUACUUGUCUUCUAAUUUUUGCCACAACACCUUUGCCAAUGUCUCCCGCAUCACAAAAUACUUCUGAGUUUUUGCAAGGCACAACCGAAUUGUGGAGCAAACCCACAAAUUUAAUUUCUCCCAUUCCAACUUCGACAUAGCUUCUGGCUUAUCUCCUAAAGCGGUAAGUAGAUCUUGUUGAGCCAACACAUCCUUAACCUCACAUUGCCACAUCCCAAAGUUGUUUGUGCCAUCAAAAUUUUACACUUCGAACUUUGCAUUUUGCACCGUAGUUCUUGCGAACCUGAAGCUACUUCCAAAAGGAUUCUCAUCUUACCCGUCUGACAUCUUUAGCAAAAGAACAAAAUAUAAAAGACACCAAGAUUUUAACGAGAUUACUCAACAAUCAGUGUGACUGGAGUACAUCCUUGGAAUAGUAGGAGCUCACCCAAUAAUCCAUUAUCAACCAAAUGAGAGUUUACAAAGUGUUCGCAAUCUCACAACCCAAAACCCAAUACACCCAAAAGCUCUCACUCAUCAAAUAAACAAAUAGAGAAGGAAAUAUUAUGAUUGAUUUCUUCUCUACACAAAGCUCAAAACUAUUACAACAACUACUUUGAUGGAUGAUUACUAACCAAAGAGAAUAGCACCUUCUUCUUCUGUUCAAAGUGGAGCUACGGCACCACCUUUUCUUCUUCUUCUUCUCUGCUGCUGCCUUUAUAUUUCUGCUCUUAGUUUUCUGCUCCAAAACAAAAGGGCAGCAGUUGCCCUAAUGCAUAACCUAGCCACUCCCGUGGCUUUCCACAUGGGCCAAAUAAAAAGGCCCUGUUUAUGGGCUAUUGAAAGGCCCAAUGGAAUUUGGCCAUAAUUCAACAAUGUACACCGAUACCGAUAUUUUAAAUACAGUUUCAACUUGUAUUUUGUUUUGGAGACUAUCCAUAUAUUGUAGUUAGCGAUAGAGUGUCAGCCAUUUGUGUGGUUCGUACAACGUUUUGGUCCAAUUUUGUAAUGAGCUUGGACUCUCUUCUUUAACUUCUUCUAUCUCAUAUUUCCCUCACUCUUUCUAUAUAUGUAUAUCCAAUGAGCUUUGCCUGCACAAAGAGGUAGCUGAAAAUGGAGGUAACCAACAUGUACAUUACUAUAAAAUACCCCAUCGACGACGGAGAACCGAAAGAGUCAGACUUUGAGGUUAAAACUUCACCCAUUGCUCUAUCAAUUUCCCCUGGUUCAAGCGAUGUCAACGUGAAAAUUUUUUAUGUGUCGAUCGAUCCGUACCAGCUCAACCGCAUGAAAAGUUUCAGCUUCUCCCACAAAGCCAUAAGUUAUGCAGCUGCCAUCGCCCCAGGAGAUGUAAGCCUUGAAGCUUAUUUGUUACAAAAGUCGUAAAGCAAACUGUUCUUACCACUCGAAAACAAACAUCUUGCGCCUCUUAUUUUAUUUAUUGAAGUACAUAAUGACGCCUUUAAAUUGUAAAUAACAGCUCCCGUCUCAACAUAAUUGAGCUUUUUAUAAUUAUAUUUAAUAUUUUAUUAUGAUGGCAGGAAAUUGAUGCUUAUUGUGUGGCAAAAGUUGUGGCUUCUGGGAAUCCAGUGUUUGAGAAGGAUGACUUGGUUGUGGGGCUCAUCAGUUGGGGAGAGUACAUUGUUCUAAAAGAAGGGACCAUGUUUAGGAAAUUUGACCUUUUGGGAUUUCCACUUUCUUAUCAAGUUGGAAUUCUAGGUAAUUUUACUUCAUCGUCACGACAACUGAUACUUCAAUAUUGGCUCGAGACAUUUUAUCUGUUUAUCUCUUCUUACCCUUAAAAACAGAGGCACACGGUGUCCUUGAAUCAAGUAAUUCGUUGACAAUUGGAUUGAUUUGGUUAUUUUGUAUGUGUUUGGGCCCAAAAAAUACUGUUUUAGGCCGAGUUAGAUCUUUUUCGGCCCAGUGUGGGAUAGGCCGAGUUUAGAUUCAUCAUCGGCCCAGAAGUGGUAAACAGGUGUCAUUAGAAGAUAUUCAGCCCAUAGGCCGCGCGGUCGAAAUGGGCCAUAUCCUAUCAAAAAGUGGAAUGUGGACGAAUCCUGUUAUGAGAGGGAGUCUCGACGAGGUCAGGGCUGAGAUUGAAUACGGUUUGAUAAUGAGUUAUGUUCAAAGUCCUAGUUGGAAUAGGAUUGGUCGAGAUAAAGUUGGAUCAUGAGAAGGAGUUCUAAUCUGGGAGUGAAUGAGAUUCAAUACAGGUUGGUUUCUAUAAAAAAGGAGGGAAGACAUCGAAACAAGCCCCCUCCAAUUCAACACAUAACUGCCCUGCGCAAAUUCUUUCAACAACCUUGAGAUUUUUUUCUUUUCUCUUUUCGCCGACACACCUUCAAUUUGGAUAAACAGCACUGUGAAGGUAACCGAUGAUAUCUUCAGUUGGCAUAAACAGCAUUAUCGCCGUAGAAUCAGCCGGUCUCGCAGCAUCUUCAGUCGGUAUAAACAGCACUGCGUCAAGGGCGAUUAGUUAUCUAUCCAAGUCUCGAUCGAGAAGGAUUUCUGAAUCCUUAUUGGUCAAGGUCAUUUCAUCAGCCUUCUCGGCGAAGUGAGCUGUUACAGUUUAUUGGGCUCGAAACAUUGCACGCCGAGUUAUUUUAUGAUUGGAUACUCUCAAGUGGGAUUUAGAGUUCGGCACUUCGACGACCGAACCACGUUUACUGUUAAGACUUAUAUCCACUUUGAGUAUUUGUGCCCUUACACUAUGGUGUCGAUUCGGCAUGAGUUUACUCUGACGAAUACCAUCACUGUGACCGAAUCCAACAACAACGAUUUGUGAACUUCGUAAGAAUAGUAGCCUUGUCUUCAGGUUCGAGAACCCAAGAGGCCGAGACGUGUUCCUUUCUUGAUCGCAAUCGCAAGACACAGAAGUCAGUUGCGCAUCCAACGUAACAUCAACUCAUUUUACUCCUUGGCUGAACUCAGCUGACGAGUUGGCAUGCCCCGCAUUCAACCGAAUGACGUAGUUAGCUCAUAGAUUACUCGACCUACGCGCCACGUAGGCUUGGUAGUUUUUAGGGUCAACAGUAUGUUACAGGUUUUAGUGGACUUACAGCAUAUGGGGGAUUUUUUGAAGUGUUCAAGCCUAAAAAGGGGGAGAGAGUUUUCGUAUCUGCAGCUUCUGGAUCGAUUGAAAUUUUGGUCGGACAGUAUGCAAAACUCUUCGGUUGCUAUGUUAUUGGCUGUGCUGGAAGCAAAGAAAAGGUGACCUUACAAAACUUUUCUUUUAGUACGCUAUGUUCAAUCGGAAUCUGUUCAUGAAAAUUGAUCUGAAUGUUCGGUUUAUAGGUGGCAUUGCUCAAGGAAAAGCUCGGAUUCGAUGAUGCCUUCAACUACAAGGAAGAGCCCGAUUUAAAGUCAACUCUCAAAAACGUAAACCUCUCUUUGAUCCUAUCGUUUUGAAGUGAAAUACGGGGUUAAUACUAAAUUGUGUUUGAUCUUCAGGUACUUCCCGGACGGGAUUGAUAUAUAUUUUAACAAUGUGACAUCUGAGAUGCUGGAAGCAGCAGUUGAGAACAUGAACACAUUCGGUAAGGUUGCUGCCUGCGGCGUGAUUUUUGAGUACAUAGAUGCCAGAAAGCGAGCUGAUCCAAAUAUGCUAGACGUUGUUUACAAGAGAAAUAAGAUCCAAGGGUUUUUAGCAGCUGAUCUCAUGAAUGUGUAAUCUGAUUUUAUCUCCACCACCGUUG